AUACCUUUCUCGGCCUUUUGGCUAAGAUCAAGUGUAGUAUCUGUUCUUAUCAGUUUAAUAUCUGAUACGUGGGCCAAUGGUCCACAUGAUAUUAACUCAAUUUUUUUUAAGGGGAAGGCCCAUUAAGGUAGCUUGCUACCUGGGCUUUCAAGCGUCGCUAUUGCGUUGCACUACUGCAUUGGCCUGGCGCACCCCAC
rnacentral:snRNA from 1 species